rnacentral:rRNA from 1 species
CCGUAGCGAACAGCUCAGUAACACGUGGCCAAGCUACCCUAUGGACGUGGACACCCUCGGGAAACUGAGGCUAAUCCGCGAUACGGCUCCCACGCUUGAAUGCGGGGAGCCGGAAACGCUCCGGCGCCAUAGGAUGCGGCUGCGGCCGAUUAGGUAGACGGUGGGGUAACGGCCCACCGUGCCGAUAAUCGGUACGGGAUGUGAGAGCAAAUAGCCCGGAGAUGGAAUCUGAGACAAGAUUCCAGGCCCUACGGGGCGCAGCAGGCGCGAAACCUUUACACUGCACGCCAGUGCGAUAAGGGGACCCCGAGUGCGAGGGCAUACAGUCCUCGCUUUUGUACACCGUAAGGAGGUGUACGAAUAAGGGCUGGGCAAGACCGGUGCCAGCCGCCGCGGUAAUACCGGCAGCCCGAGUGAUAGCCGCUGUUAUUGGGCCUAAAGCGUCCGUAGCCGGCCGAACAAGUCUGUCGGGAAAUCCAUCCGCCUAACGGAUGGGCGUCCGGCAGAAACUGUUCGGCUUGGGGCCGGAAGAUCCGAGGGGUACGUCCGGGGUAGGAGUGAAAUCCUGUAAUCCUGGACGGACCGCCGGUGGCGAAAGCGCCUCGGAAGGACGGACCCGACGGUGAGGGACGAAAGCUGGGGUCUCGAACCGGAUUAGAUACCCGGGUAGUCCCAGCCGUAAACGA